rnacentral:rRNA from 1 species
AUUGAACGCUGGCGGCAGGCUUAACACAUGCAAGUCGAGCGAGGGGCGGAAGGGUGAGUAAUGACUGGGAAACUGCCUGAUGGAGGGGGAUAACUACGGGAAACGGUAGCUAAUACCGCAUAGCAUCAGAUGGGCCCAGAUGGGAUUAGCUAGUAGGUGGGGUAAUGGCUCACCUAGGAGACGAACCCUAGCUGGUCUGAGAGGAGGACCAGCCACACGGGAACGGAGACACGGUCCAGAGGCCGACGUGAGGGAGCAGUGGGUAAUAGUGGACAAUGGGCGCGAGCCUGAUGCAGCCAGGCCGCGUGUGUGAAGAAGGCCUUCGGGUUGUAAAGCCCUUUCAGCGAGGAGGCGUUACUCGCAGAAGAAGCACCGGCUAACUCCGUGCCAGCAGCCGCGGUAAUAC